UGUCCAAUGCGGGAAUCGAACCCGGGUCCUAGUGGUCGAAAACCAAACGGUUUAACACACUGAAGUGUAAUUGGGAC